CAACAUUCAGAUAUCGCACAGAUAACAGUGAUGACAAUUGAUUAUAGUGUGGUAUAGGAGAUAAAUGAUUCACUCUCAGGAAUCUGAGUGUGCGCAUUAAUAUAAAAAAACGGAUAUAGCCUUCAAAACUAUAAUUCUACGCGGCUGCACUCAAUUGGUAACACUUUUCUCAACUUAGCAUACUCGUAUGUAGUUUAUUUCCAGUGUUAAAUAUAUGGAUAAUUCGAAGUGUGAAUCAUCGAUCAAGACAAACAAAUUCAAAGCACUGGUAGAGUGGAAGCAGGAGACAAACUCACCGCGUGCGCGGAAAGUGUUCGUACUCUCAUAAUAUGCGUGUAACUGCCUUUCUGGUUGAUGGGCAUUCGAGACAAAAAUAGAUUCGAUGAUUCGAACAAGAUCGACCGGUGCAGAACGAUGCUGAGCGGAGUGGAGAGCGAGUUCAAAUUUGAGGAAUUUCAGUGUGACGUUGUUUGACUGCAUAUGGAUAUAUGGUAGGUGUGGGAGGUGAGGAAAGGAAAUUAUAAUAUCUAUAUGUGCACAUAUUUACAUUGUUAAAUAUAAUUAAACAAUUUAAACUAUUUAUAGCAAAAAUAAUGAAGUUUCGAUGAAAGAUAUCCAAAUUUAGGUUUAUGGAUGCACUCGUCUGAUAUUUGUUUGUUUGUGGUUAAAUAUAGACUGUUCUAAUUUUCGCCCAUCUUGAAAAUCCAAAUAAAAAUACUUUUGGAUUGAAACCAAAGCAAACUAUCCACAAACCUUUUCAUAUUCGGUAAAUUAUGGAUGUACAUGAAGUACAAACAUUUAUAAUGUUAUUACUAUUAGAUUGUCUUGACUUCGUAUUUAUAGAUUUAUUGUAAACGAUAUAAAUUUGUGUUUAUGUGUUAAAUUACUACAUAUGGAUAUAAUUCUCAGUGGUAAAGAAUUUGAAGCGAGUGACUAAUCACAAACAGACGUGAAUGAGUCGGUAGUCUAAUUGUGGCUGCCAAGCCGGCUCGCCCGUUGUUGCCGAUAGGGUUACUCAUCCAGACAGACAUGUGCGAGAUUGCAACACGACACCACUUUUCCGACAUAUGACUUUGUAUUAAGCCUUUAAACAGUCAAUUUUAACAAAUGUUAUUCUAACAAUCAUAAGAAAACCAAUCGAUAUUACAUAAUUUGGUGCGAGUAGGCGGCUCAUAGACUUUUUUGAGUUUCUGCCAUUUUGUAGUUUUUAAGUCAACUUGUUUUAUGAUCAGUAAUCUUCGAAUUAGUAAAAUUAUUAAAGACCCAGCUCUAAUAAUAAUAAAUUCGAAGUAAUUCGAUGUUUUGUGAUAUAACCCUUAGUAUAUACCUACCCACUAAUACGUUUCAAUUUAUAUAAGCAUUAUUUUUCCCCCCAUAGGCGUCUAACUAUAGAUUUUGGUUUUCUAUGUUUUGAUUCAUAGUUUGCGUUAUUUUGUUAAAAUGUUAUUUUUCUUGAAUUUAUUUUGUAUUUGUUCACGUGUUUGUAAAUAUUGUCAUUUUUUUUAAACUCAAAAUUGAUAUGAAAAGCAAGGGCAAUUGUUUUUGUUCAAGUUUAAAAUGUCUUUAUUUUAAUUUAUUGCUUAUACAAAGUAAAUAUCCGCAAAAUACCGCGUUCAUGAUAACUAAUACAGCCGAAUAUUAUAGGAUAAGGUUUUAAAAUCCGAAGAUACUGUAUUAUUUCUGUUACAAAUCAAUAUUUAUAAUUUUGGCUAACCUGAUUUUAUAAAACUUAGUAAGAACCUAUACCUAUCUCAAAAUGAAUUUAUUUUUGCGAAAUAGUUGCAUAUUAAGCAGUAAAUAGUUUAUACUGCUUAAACUUCUGAAGCCAGUGGACGUCUCGCUUGUGGACGAAUUAGAAAACGGAUAAAGGCAAUAAAAGUACUUUCACCCAUGUACACAAAUUGAACACACGUCGCGGAUUUUGUACACGCAUUGGCAGUACUUGCGCGCUUAUAUUUAAAAAUAGCUGUAUCUCAACUUUAUUUCUUAAAAAUUACAUCCCAAUGCACUAAUUUAUUUGUAAUAAUGAUGAUAAAUUUAUAGAAUAUGCUAACAAUGUCUGUGCUUUUGAAGUUAUAUAAAUAAAAUGGCAUCAACAAAUUUUUAGAGUAAAAAUAAUGUCGUUUUAGAGUAUUUUCGACGAGUGCAGUGCUUGAAUUUGAAUCAAAAUUGAGUACACAAUAAAUAUUAAAACGAUAUAUUAUAUUCCUAGUAAGUUGUAGAGGCUGGGUAGAAAUGGAAGUGUGUAUUUACGCCCGUGGUCCACUUUCUCUAAACUCACUCUAGCAACUCUAUAGAACAACUACACUACGUCAUAUACGCUUCAUUUUAAAUAUUCAUAGACUAUAUUAAUCAUUAAUUAAUUCAAGUUUAUAAUCUCUACAUAAUCUAUCGAUAAAAUUAAUCAAUGCUUUGUGCGUAAAUAAGCAAUUUUCUAUUAUUUUGUAAUGUCCUUAUUUCUCACUCAAAAACUGAUUUUUUAAAUUAAAAUUAAGAAAUUAUAUGAAUCUCUGACCGCGUCGCAAAUAAUGGGUUCAUGUAACUUUCUCAAAUGUAUCAGUUUGCUGUACAACUCCAUACAGAGUGUUUUAGAUGAAACUAUGUUGUGUUUUUUUCAACUAAUGUUGCGUCUGCGCGUGCGUGGUACUCCACAGGUAGUCACUAGUUCAUCUGGCUCUUUCAUUCAGGAUCGAAACAGUAAUAACAACGGAAACUUCGGUGAUAUUAUUGUAGUAGGUUUUAUGGCACAUAUUUGAAAGUCAACGACCUCAACUGUAUCGCGGCGGUGUACGCGCACCGCGAACAUAUCGCAUUGUUUUCUUGCACCGUUUUGCUUAUCGCUCGCGCGAGCGCACUUGCGCGUUCCUUCGGAUGACCUCUUCGCCAAACGAACCAACCUGCAACUGCGCUCUCGGCUAUUUAAUGUAUGCAUUGCUACACAAACUUCUUGUUAUUGUGAAAAUUAAAGACUAAAAAUUAGAAACUAAACAAAUUAAAUUAUUUUGAUUUGAUGUAUUGUUGUAAUGUUAAUUUUAUAUUAAUCAUUUACCGAAUAUGAUUAUAUUGUGCUCACGUUAUCGGUAAACACAUAGAAACAGUGUUCAGAAACUUAAAGACGGUUUCUAAUGAUAAUAUCCAAAGUGCGAAAUAUUAACACUGACCUAUCUUCCAAAGUGUGCGUAAAUCGUGAUUGAAACACGUGAUUACGUGAUAAACAUCACCAAUAUUACCACACAAACCCACGCGUGUACUCAGGCUAUGCAUAAUUACAGUCAGCGACUAGUGUACUUCCCCUCAAGGGCCUUGAAAUUAUUUUUUAUCAAAAUAUUUCAAAUUUCAAUUGUGUUUCUAUGUCAAUACUCAUCGUUGCGUGUUACUACGAUGACAAAUUACACGUGCCAGCUGUCUCUAUGUACAAUCAUGCGCACUUUGACAUGAAAUGUUAUAAAAUUAAACGAAUGCUUAAAGGUUUUCGUAAAUUUCAACCAUCUUCAAGAAUUUGCAUUGAAAUAAUUAUUAAAUCAAUACUUACCGAUGAUUCAUUUAUUAAAUAUUCAUAAUUCAUACAUUUUCUGGUUGUAAAUUAAUCAAUAAAUAUAUGUUGUGCUGAGGUCAAACUGGUUGCAUUUAUUUGUGUACAUUAAUAUAAUUAUCAUAGUUAAUGAGCUCACGUAAGUUACAAAAAAAAUUGUUUAGCAUGUGGACACAAUUAUCGAAGUUUACAGCUUAAUUCAACGGUUGUUUAAUUUGUUGAUACUCUAUACGACUGGGUAUUCACAUGCACGACGGAUAUCAACAAGUAUUAGUGACGCAACGAUACGAACAAAAUUCACAUGAGCCCACUCCGCUAGCCAUAAAAGCGCGAUAUAACCGAUUCGAACCUUCAUUCACAAAUUGCACUAGCAACGAAAACAUACACUACACAAAAAGUUGCCUGUAUUAUUUUAAAACAAAAACUGGUUAACCAAGUAUUAAAUAAAAAUGACAAUCAAAAUGGAACCUAGUGAGUUUAAAACAUCGCCGCCAUUACGAACUCGCCAUGACAGAACCUGCCGAACAUCAAAUAGUUCUCCUUCAACGACGAACAGAACUUCCAUUGGAAAUAAUCAAGUGAUAACUCUAUCUGAAGUGAUAAACAACAUUGACAUCAUAGGCAAUCAAAAUUUGCUGAC